UACGGGGGGGGCAAGCGUUGUUCGGAAUUACUGGGCGUAAAGGGCUCGUAGGUGGCCAACUAAGUCAGACGUGAAAUCCCUCGGCUUAACCGGGGAACUGCGUCUGAUACUGGAUGGCUUGAGUUCGGGAGAGGGAUGCGGAAUUCCAGGUGUAGCGGUGAAAUGCGCAGAUAUCAGGAGGAACACCGGUGGCGAAGGCGGCUCUCUGGGACGGUACUGACGCUGAGACGCGAAAGCGUGGGGAGCGAACAGG
rnacentral:rRNA from 1 species